CCUGGUGUUGACAAUAGUAAGUGACUCUGGAGUUAAUAUUGACAGCUGGCACUAUUUACAUGGUAUGAACCAAUAGGUGAUUGAGACUAUAUGCUACCCAUGCAUCAAUCUCCUUGCUUGCUGUUAAAAGCAGCCAUUGACAUGACUUUCUAUAAGCAAGACGCAUAAAGAUGGAUUAGCGCUAAAAAUUCAAACAACUGAUAACUUUAGGCAUCAAACACUCUACACAAG